UACGUAGGGUGCAGGCGUUAAUCGGAAUUACUGGGCGUAAAGCGUGCGCAGGCGGUCUGUUAAGAGAGAUGUGAAAUCCCCGGGCUUAACCUGGGAACUGCGUUUCUAACUGGCAGGCUUGAGUGUGGCAGAGGGGGAUGGAAUUCCGCGUGUAGCAGUGAAAUGCGUAGAUAUGCGGAGGAACACCGAUGGCGAAGGCAAUCCCCUGGGCCUGCACUGACGCUCAUGCACGAAAGCGUGGGGAGCAAACAGG
rnacentral:rRNA from 1 species